ensembl:lncRNA
CUCCAGUAUUCUUGCCUGGGAAAUCCCAUGGACAGAGGAGCCUGGCAGGCUACAGUCCAUGGGCUUGCAGAGUUGAACACAAAUGAGCACAGCACACACACACACACAGAUCAAAAAAUGUUUCUUCCUAACUAUCCAUUUAUAGAAUUCCCUUUGUAACUACUAAGGGAACUACCACUGUUCCCUUAGACCGUAGGGCCGUACCUGGUAGCAUUUCCUCAGGCUUUAGGAGAAGGGGAGGAAGUACUUCAGAGAGAAGAGCUUAUAAAUCUUACCACUUACUUAUAAUUUAGGUUUAAGUAUUCAUUUGAAGCACUUGACACUCUAACCACUAAAAUGCUUGAUUAGGAACUCAAGCUUGAGAGACACACGAGAAGAGCGUCAGAAGACCACAUCAUUUUUGUGAUUAGUUUCCAGUGCCACUCUUUUUUCAUGUUUAAACAAAGAGUACGAAAAGAUUCAAGCUUUUUCAGGGAAGAAUACACACUUCAUAUUAUUUCUCUUCCUUAUUGCUUAGCAAUCUCAAGCAACUUCCACUAAUGGGUUUCUGCUGUUAGGCACUUCAGGUCCUGCUUGUAAUUUUGUUAUUUAGUGAGAAAACCAACAAUCAAAUGAAAAACUAAAAAUAUAGGGCCAUCUCCAUGUGCAUGUUAGGUAAUAAAACUGUGUCACCAGCAGGGUGUUCUAUGGAAAUCACUUAAUUUCUCUGACCCAUAAAACAAGAUUUUUAAAGAUUGGAAUGAAAAUUGACCUUUUACAGUCCUGUGGCUACUGCUGGAUUUUCCAAAUUUGCUGGCAUAUUGAGUGCAGCACUUUCACAGCAUCAUCUUUUAGGAUUUGAAAUAACUCAACUGGAAUUCCAUCACCUCCACUAGUUUUGUUCAUGUGAUGCUUCCUAAGACCCACUUGACUUCGCAUUGCAGGAUGUCUGACUCUAGGUGAGUGAUCACACCAUUGGGGUUAUCUGGGUUGUGAAGAUCUUUUUGUAUAGUUCUUCUGUGCAUUCUUGCCACCUCUUCUUAAUAUCUUCUGCUUCUGUUAGGUCCAUACCAUUUCUGUCCUUUAUCGAGCCCAUCUUUGCAUGAAAUGUUCCCUUUGUAUAUCUAAUUGUCUUGAAGAGAUCUCUAGUCUUUACCAGUCUAUUGUUUUC